GACAGAGGUCCCGAGCGUUGUUCGGAAUUAUUGGGCGUAAAGGGCGCGCAGGCGGCCGGGCCAGUCCGGUGUGAAAGCCCGCAGCUUAACUGCGGAAGGGCAUUGGAAACUACCCGGCUCGAGGGUUGGAGAGGGGAUGGGAAUUCUCGGUGUAGCAGUGAAAUGCGUAGAGCUCGAGAAGAACACCAGAGGCGAAGGCGAGUCCCUGGACAACUCCUGACGCUCAGGCGCGAAAGCCAGGGGAG
rnacentral:rRNA from 1 species